GGUUAGCUAAUACCGCAUACGACUCUCGGUCUGCGGAUCGAGAGGGAAAGCGAUACCGUGGGUAUCGCGCUCAUGGAUGGGCUCAUGUCCUAUCAGCUUGUUGGUGAGGUAACGGCUCACCAAGGCUUCGACGGGUAGCUGGUCUGAGAGGACGAUCAGCCACACUGGCACUGCGACACGGGCCAGACUCCUACGGGAGGCAGCAGUAAGGAAUAUUGCGCAAUGGGCGACAGCCUGACGCAGCGACGCCGCGUGGGGGAUGAAGGUCUUCGGAUUGUAAACCCCUUUCGGCAGGGAAGAUGGAACGGGUAACCGUUCGGACGGUACCUGCAGAAGCAGCCACGGCUAACUUCGUGCCAGCAGCCGCGGUAAUACGAAGGCGGCAAGCGUUGUUCGGAUUUACUGGGCGUACAGGGAGCGUAGGCGGUUGGGUAAGCCCUCCGUGAAAUCUCCGGGCCUAACCCGGAAAGUGCGGAGGGGACUGCUCGGCUAGAGGAUGGGAGAGGAGCGCGGAAUUCCCGGUGUAGCGGUGAAAUGCGUAGAGAUCGGGAGGAAGGCCGGUGGCGAAGGCGGCGCUCUGGAACAUAUCUGACGCUGAGGCUCGAAAGCGUGGGGAGCAAACAGGAUUAGAUACCCUAGUAGUCCACGCCUUAAACUAUGAAUACUAAGUGUCGGCGGGUUACCGCCGGUGCCGCAGCUAACGCAUUAAGUAUUCCGCCUGGGAAGUACGGCCGCAAGGUUGAAACUCAAAGGAAUUGACGGGGGCCCGCACAAGCGGUGGAGCAUGUGGUUUAAUUCGACGACGCGAAGAACCUUACCCAGGCUGGACAUGCAGGUAGUAGAAGGGUGAAAGCCCAACGAGGUAGCAAUACCAUCCUGCUCAAGUGCUGCAUGGCUGUCGCCAGCUCGUGCCGUGAGGUGUUGGGUUAAGUCCCGCAACGAGCGCAACCCCUGUCUUCAGUUACCAACGGGUCAUGCCGGGAACUCUGGAGAGACUGCCCAGGAGAACGGGGAGGAAGGUGGGGAUGACGUCAAGUCAGCAUGGCCUUUAUGCCUGGGGCUACACACGUGCUACAAUGGCCGGUACAAAGCGCUGCAAACCCGUAAGGGGGAGCCAAUCGCAAAAAACCGGCCUCAGUUCAGAUUGAGGUCUGCAACUCGACCUCAUGAAGGCGGAAUCGCUAGUAAUCCCGGAUCAGCACGC
rnacentral:rRNA from 1 species